AAUGAACGCUGGCGGCACGCUUAACACAUGCAAGUCGAACGAGAUCUUCGGAUCUAGUGGCAGACGGGUGCGUAACGCGUGGGAACCUGCCCUUUAGUAAGGAAUAACUCAGGGAAACUUGUGCUAAUACCUUAUAAUCCCUUCGGGGGAAAGCUUUAUGCGCUAAUGGAUGGGCCCGCGUUAGAUUAGCUUGUUGGUGAGGUAAUGGCUCACCAAGGCGACGAUCUAUAGCUGGUCUGAGAGGAUGAUCAGCCACACUGGGACUGAGACACGGCCCAGACUCCUACGGGAGGCAGCAGUGGGGAAUAUUGGACAAUGGGGGCAACCCUGAUCCAGCGAUGCCGCGUGAGUGAUGAAGGCCCUAGGGUUGUAAAACUCUUUCGCCAGGGAAGAUAAUGACGGUACCUGGUAAAGAAGAUCCGGCUAACUCCGUGCCAGCAGCCGCGGUAAUACGGAGGGAUCUAGCGUUAUUCGGAAUAACUGGGCGUAAAGCGAGCGUAGGCGGAUUUGUAAGUUGGAGGUGAAAUCCCAGGGCUUAACCCUGGAACUGCCUUCAAAACUACAUUUCUUGAGUUUGGUAGAGGAGAGUGGAAUUCCUAGUGUAGAGGUGAAAUUCGUAGAUAUUAGGAGGAACACCAGUGGCGAAGGCGACUCUCUGGGCCAAUACUGACGCUGAGGUUCGAAAGCGUGGGGAGCGAACGGGAUUAGAUACCCCGGUAGUCCACGCAGUAAACGAUGAGUGCUAGAUGUUGGGAACAUUAGUUUUCAGUAUCGCAGCUAACGCGUUAAGCACUCCGCCUGGGAAGUACGGCCGCAAGGCUAAAACUCAAAUGAAUUGACGGGGACCCGCACAAGCGGUGGAUCAUGUGGUUUAAUUCGAAGCAACGCGAAGAACCUUACCGGCUCUUGACAUACCAAUCGCGGAUCUAAGAGAUUAGAUCCUUCACUUCGGGUGGAUUGGAUACAGGUGCUGCAUGGCUGUCGUCAGCUCGUGUCGUGAGAUGUUGGGUUAAGUCCCGCAACGAGCGCAACCCCUACCUUCAAUUGCCAGCACGUUAUGGUGGGAACUUUGAAGGAACUGCCGGUGAUAAGCCGGAGGAAGGUGGGGAUGACGUCAAGUCCUCAUGGCCCUUACGGGCCGGGCUACACACGUGAUACAAUGGUGAUUACAAAGGGCUGCUACAGAGCGAUCUCAAGCAAAUCCUUAAAAGUCAUCUCAGUUCGGAUUGCACUCCGCAACUCGAGUGCAUGAAGUUGGAAUCGCUAGUAAUCGUAGAUCAGCGCGCUACGGUGAAUACGUUCCCGGGUCUUGUACACACCGCCCGUCACACCAUGGGAGUUGGUUUUACCUGAAGCUAGUUCGCUAACCGCAAGGAGGCAGCUAACCACGGUAAGAUUAGCGACUGGGGUGAAGUCGUAACAAGGUAACCGUAGGGGAACCUGCGGUUGGAUCACCUCCUUUCU
rnacentral:rRNA from 1 species